UUCAUAAGAAUAUUAUAUCUGUAGGAUCUGAUUAUUUCAAAGCAAUGCUGGCUCAUAAUAAUGCUGAGACAGCGUCUGGUAAAGUGGAAAUGAAAGAAGUUGAUCCACUGUCCCUACAACAAUGCGUAGAAUUUAUUUACACUGGUGAAUUGUUUACUACUGAU